ensembl:lncRNA
UUUGGGUGAAUUAUCCCUUUAAGAUGUCAAUAAUGACAUUCAAGAAGGCCACACUUUCCUUAGCCAAACCCUGUAAACCCCCCAGGCAUCAGAGGGGUCGUAGAAGGUCAGUAACAUUGACAGACACUGCAAUGUAGCUGAAAGUGAUUCUUUAACACAGAUCUGAGGUCAGUGUGCUGGUUAUUGCUCCACAGGCUCAGGGGCUGCACAUAAGACACGCCACUCUCUGAUCUGCUAUUUGUUGCUGAUCUCUGUAAACACAAAGUGCUAUUCUGAGGAGCAUCUUCAUGUUGGUCAUACCCCAUCUGCACAAGCAACACCCCCGCAGGGCCAAGUGUGGUCAGCAGAUGACUAGCAGGAAGGGGAGAUGUUUAUACGUGAAGAUGACUUGCUAACAUGGAAAAAGAGUUAUUUUCCCAGACACGCCACCUGCAAGUGUUCUGCAUUGCUCUGGACCAUCCAUGUACGACACAACAAGUCUUCUGGAAAAUGAGUUUGGGGGUCUCUGAGAAAACAUUGUGGCUGGUUAAACUGCUUCAUGGAUAG